AUUGAACGUUGGCGGCAUGCCUUACACAUGCAAGUCGAACGGCAGCACGGGAGCAAUCCUGGUGGCGAGUGGCGAACGGGUGAGUAAUAUAUCGGAACGUGCCCAGUCGUGGGGGAUAACGUAGCGAAAGCUACGCUAAUACCGCAUACGAUCUAUGGAUGAAAGCGGGGGAUCGCAGGACCACGCGCGAUUGGAGCGGCCGAUAUCAGAUUAGGUAGUUGGUGAGGUAAAGGCUCACCAAGCCGACGAUCUGUAGCUGGUCUGAGAGGACGCCCAGCCACACUGGGACUGAGACACGGCCCAGACUCCUACGGGAGGCAGCAGUGGGGAAUUUUGGACAAUGGGCGCAAGCCUGAUCCAGCAAUGCCGCGUGCAGGAUGAAGGCCUUCGGGUUGUAAACUGCUUUUGUACGGAACGAAACGGCGAGCUCUAAUACAGUUUGCUAAUGACGGUACCGUAAGAAUAAGCACCGGCUAACUACGUGCCAGCAGCCGCAGUAACAC
rnacentral:rRNA from 1 species